CUCUACUUUCCUGCACGCGCAUCAUGGAACAUAACAAGGUCACAUCAGGUCGCAUUGAUAUAUGUCUAUGGGUCAGGGCUGAGUGAUUAACCCAGCGGAAGUGGAAAAUCCAGCUCUAAUAUGAGUGCUUAAGAAUUCAACAUCUGCCAUCGUCUGUCACCAUGGAAACCUGAUGAACUGAGGUGGACAGUGAUGGAGAGUGAGUGAGGAAGAGGAAAAGGAGGCGGAAGGAAGGAAUGAUCCUCUCUGUAGCUGGAUAAGCGUGCCCCGAGACCUUGAACGUUACAAUAAUCAACUAAGAUAAGUAAAAACAAAUUAUUAAUCCAUAUAUUGCUAGAAAUUUAACUCAUUUUUUUUCUUUUCUAUGACAAAUCUCUGAGGGUCUGAAGCUGCAGUUCCUUGAGCAUCAGGAAAUGAACAAUGUUUCUCUGGUCUCUACGUACCCCAGAUUCUAAUAUAAGGUAAGAUGACGGUUUUCCGACACAGCGUACAUUUGUGUAUUUUCUGAUAGUGAAAGCUCAAUGAUGGAUUUCUUUU
rnacentral:lncRNA from 1 species